rnacentral:rRNA from 1 species
GGGAUAACACCUGGAAACAGGUGCUAAUACCGCAUAACAGAAGGGGACGCAUGUUUCUUUCUUGAAAACUCCGGUGGUACGGGAUGGACCCGCGUCUGAUUAGCUGGUUGGCGGGGUAACGGCCCACCAAGGCGACGAUCAGUAGCCGGCCUGAGAGGGCGGACGGCCACAUUGGGACUGAGACACGGCCCAAACUCCUACGGGAGGCAGCAGUGGGGAAUAUUGCACAAUGGGGGAAACCCUGAUGCAGCGACGCCGCGUGAGUGAAGAAGCGUUUCGGCGCGUAAAGCUCUGUCAGCGGGGAAGAAACACGGUUCGCGAGGGCCGCGGACGGUACCCGACCAAGAAGCCCCGGCUAACUACGUGCCAGCAGCCGCGGUAAUACGUAGGGGGCAAGCGUUAUCCGGAUUCACUGGGUGUAAAGGGAGCGUAGACGGCGAGACAAGUCUGGAGUGAAAGGCCGGGGCCCAACCCCGGGACUGCUCUGGAAACUGCCUGGCUGGAGUACAGGAGAGGUAAGUGGAAUUCCUAGUGUAGCGGUGAAAUGCGUAGAUAUUAGGAGGAACACCAGUGGCGAAGGCGGCUUACUGGACUGUAACUGACGUUGAGGCUCGAAAGCGUGGGGAGCAAACAGGAUUAGAUACCCUGGUAGUCCACGCCGUAAACGAUGAUCACUAGGUGUCGGGGGUUAGAAGGCCCCCGGUGCCGCAG